AGGACCAAAGUACUUUUAAAAAGAAGAAAAGAGGAGGGACGGAAGAGGCGGUAAAACCAAUGUCGGCCUCUUGAAAUCUUGAUGACCGGAAGCUCUUCACUGCUGCCUGCCUUGAUGCACCUGAGUACUGACUUCUGGGUGCUCCUGACCCACGCUCUUCUGGAGAGGCCCAGGGGAUGCUAAAAGCAUCCAGCUCAGGGCCUCACACCUGAGGGGCUAAUAGACAAUUUCCCAUCCACCUGUCAGUGUGGAUAGCCAGCGCUGCUUCCCACAGGGCUGGACUCACUUGGUUUCCUUUCCUCUCACUGUGCAGCAAUGAGUCUGGUCAGGAGCUUCAAAAGCCAGGAGUGACCAGGAACCGGACCUAGAUACCAGAGAAAGAUUCCGGGAGAGGUAGACAUCUUCAUCCAGAGAGCCAUAGACAGCCUCUGCUCAUUGAACAUGAGGGAGAAUUGCACUGACACCUUUAAGAGGUGAGAGGUUUUAAGAUUAUGAGGACUGCUAUUAAAAGGGAUUGUUGGAUGUCAGGUAUGUCCUUUCUCUUGUACCCAACCAUGAGGCCAGCAGUCACCUUUGUCACAGCUCAUAUGCUGGAGUGUACUAUGCUGUUACAGACCCAAGGCAAUAGGACCAUUCAGCCAUGGUCUGAAUCUCUGACAGCUCUGGCCAAAAUAAGCUUUCCUUUUUUAAUCUGUUUGAUCUCAAGUGUUUAGUCACAGUUACAGAUGCAGGCUAACAGUGACUGAGAGUCCAGGUGCAGAUGCUCAUUCUUUCUCAAGUGCCAUCUUCCUUGCAGGAAGCAGAGGACAGAGGAAACAGUCCAGGCAGUGGAGUCACCACCAAAUGAAAGACAGACAGCGGAGCAACCGAUUGGAGUUCCUGAGCCUGUUCUAGCAGGUAUCCUAGCCUACCAGUGCUCUCACACAUUCCCUUUUCUCUGUGAGACUACUCCUAUGAACGCCAGGCUUCCGCUUCCUUCCCACAGACCCCGUUGGGGUCCAGGUAUCCAUGCGUGGAAUCUCUGUCCUUAUUUUUCUCUCCCUGGCUGUGGCAUUGAUAUUUUUCUUGCCAUCCUGGGGCUCUUCAAGAUACGUUUGUUUUUCUUUUACUAUAAUUUCAGGUAAGGUGAAAUCCAUGAGGAUACAGCCUUAAGGGGAAAUAGCUUCUAGCAAAAGUUAUCAGGAAGCCACAUGCUUUCUGGGAAUGACUGUGGUGUCUACAUAAUCAUCUCAACCUUUUAUACCUCAGGUCAAUUCAAUUUCUGCUCUAACAAGGCCAUAGCAAUUACUUCAUGACCAAUCCACUUCGGAGUGGAGACAAAAAAAGUACAAGAAUUAAGGAGCCAGCCCACCCCACUCCCAGCUUAGAAAUGGGAGCUCCAUUUGUGCAGACCUUAAAUUAGGCUGAGCUCAUCUGAAGUGAUGGGGGGGAUUAGACUCCUAGCGGCAGACUCAAGGGAAUAAAUAACCAGCUGAAGCCACAAAUCUUAAAACAUAAUCUUCCAUCUUAACUCCCAAGAGGCCAUAAGAUUAUUGAUAAGAUAAGAAGAAGAAGAAGAAGAAGAAGAAGAAGAAGAAGAAGAAGAAGAAGAAGAAGAAGAAGAAGAAGAAGAAGAAGAAGAAAUGAGAGGUCAUACUAGGGAGAACAAGCUGAGGGCUGCAGAUACUGUGACUCAAGUCAGCCUCACUUUUGGGAUACUCCUGUCUGAGAAAAUGACACAGGAGUGCAGAGAGCUUCUGUGGAGACUCUCAGCUGUCAAGACUGCCAAGACUUGGACUUGAGACUGUGGAGUGCUCAGCCAUAGACGGGUUAUCUACAUCAAUUCCUACACCACAGCUCACGUGUGGCCGAUGUAAGCCUGUAAGAGCCGGGGAGCAGGGAGGAGGGCUGGGAGAUGUCGUCUUCUGGACACGACAUGGAUGCCGCACACAUCAGCUCACAGCAGCUGUGGCUACCUGCACACGAUCAACCCAACACAGACCAGUGAACCAGUGGACGGCUCUCCAGGCCCCACACUAUCGGACGAGCUACUGGCAAAAGAUGGCUUCUGGGGGAGGGGGACUCACUUUUCGUUGUGGGGUGGCCUCUGGUACGUUGCCCAUACCCCACACCUGUGGGCAUAUGAGCAGCAGCAAAUAGGAUCUGGUGUGUUACUACCAAAAGCAAAAUAAACAAGAAAACCCCAAAAACAAAAACACAAAUAUGAAAAUGAAGUUGUGAGAGUUGUGUGAGGGAGAUAUGCUGGGGGUGGGCUAAGGGGAGUUGGAGGAAGGGAGAGGGAGUAGGGAUGGAUAUAGUCAAGGUACAUUUUAUCUAUGUAAUACAUUUUGAAAAUAACAAAGAAAGUCGAUGUCUAAGGAGUCUUGCUGUGGCCUACACACGUUUCCAUUUCCUAGUCAAGAAAGAUAAAACCUUAACUUGCCACCAUGAGUUUCUCUGGCCACUCAUGCCCAUCUUUAAAGCCACAGCAGUGCCAUCAGUGUGGCUUCAUAGGACAUAGCCUCUUGGGCCAGCAUCAUGCUAAUCCCUCAUACGCAGUCUCAGCCUUGUCAUUUAAUCCUCUAAACAGGCUUCCAGACACAAGGAGCCAUCCAAGCCUGCCAGGCCUAACCAUUGCCAGUUCAUGGCAUGCUUCCAAGCCUGCUUCCACAUCCAGGGAACUAAAAACUGCUACAAAACAACCAUUUCCAGAAGGCCCCAAACAUGUUUCUUAAUAUAUGCAGCAAAAUUUAAGUCCUCAGAUUUUCAGACCAGAUGGUUUUACAACGUUGCAAAGUAGGUUUGAUCCCAUAGUUAUUUAAACGGGCCGUGCAUUUUAAAUACACAGUGCUUCUGCUAAUUAACACUUCAUAAUUUCUCAAGAGUCCUACAGGCAAUUUCUAUCAUUUGUAACCACUGCAAGAUAGUGUCAAAAAAAAAUCCUAUUUCUUUUGUGAAAAGCUGCCCUGGGAUGGAAAAUGUGAAUUAUCUCAGUGUUGCCUGUUGUGUGAAUGAAGUAAUGUGAAAAGUCAAGUGUGACUCCCUGAAGUUGGAGUGACUCGUAAGCACAACAUCACAUCAGGUCCUUGGACACUGAUGCUCUUCAAGUCAGACCCCUACUGUGGUCCCUUAGCCAAGACAAUCACAAGAAUGCAAGUAAGUUAAUCAGCCACUAACGUACAUACAUGCAUGCGUGUACACACACACUCACAGGUGCACACACAUGUGCACUGAAGGCAGCAGGCGUCAUGGCUCAGCCAGGCAAACUGACCACAGGCGUAGAAGGCAGUAGUGAGCAUUCUUUCCAGAUCUCACUGAAUGUCUUAGUUAUAAUUCCAGAGGGCUAAGAGUCCGUCAUGGCAGGGGAUGGCAGCAAGUAGCUGGCAUGAUGGCUAGCAUGAGAACCAGAUAACUCUCAUCUUCAAACGCAAGCACAAGCAGAGAGUGGAUGGAAAGUACCAGCACCGUGAGGCUCCCAAAGCCUCCUCAUCACCAGUGACACUUCCUUCAGUGAGGUGGCACCUCCUAAGCCUACACAAACAGCACCAUCAACUGGGGAUCAAGUACAGGAGACAUUUCUCAUCCAGUCACCAUAUAGAGGUCAGACUAAAGGCCUGGGAAAGUAAGGGAACAUGGGAAGGGAAAGAAGUCCUUGACCCUAAAAUCCAGAUGAAACACUCUCCACAGAGCCAAUGAUUCCAGUACAAUUAACAAGCUUUGCUAUGAACGACUCCUACACAGAGACAGUAUUUCUAUCAGAGAAAGAUAUUUUAGAUAAAAAUGUUAAAACAGCAUUGAGCCAGGCUUAAGGCCCAAGCAUCUAUGACAGUCUUACAAGCAAGAUGAACAUUUCUAUUUAUAACAAAAGACCCCCAUGUAGCCUUGUGAGCCUUUACCCGUUCAGAGUUCCAUCAGAGGCACUUCAGAAACCACUCUGUGAUAUCAUUUACCAAAAGAAGGAAGUGGAGAUAAAGGUGGAGGAGAUAAUGGAG
rnacentral:sRNA from 1 species